rnacentral:rRNA from 1 species
GACGAACGCUGGCGGCGUGCCUAAUACAUGCAAGUCGAACGCUGAAGGAGGAGCUUGCUCUUCUGGAUGAGUUGCGAACGGGUGAGUAACGCGUAGGUAACCUGCCUGGUAGCGGGGGAUAACUAUUGGAAACGAUAGCUAAUACCGCAUAAUAGUAGAUGUUGCAUGAUAUUUACUUAAAAGGUGCAAUUGCACCACUACCAGAUGGACCCGCGUUGUAUUAGCUAGUUGGUGGGGUAACGGCUCACCAAGGCGACGAUACAUAGCCGACCGGAGAGGGGGAUCGGCCACACUGGGACUGAGACACGGCCCAGACUCCUACGGGAGGCAGCAGUAGGGAAUCUUCGGCAAUGGACGAAAGUCUGACCGAGCAACGCCGCGUGAGUGAAGAAGGUUUUCGGAUCGUAAAGCUCUGUUGUAAGAGAAGAACGAGUGUGAGAGUGGAAAGUUCACACUGUGACGGUAACUUACCAGAAAGGGACGGCUAACUACGUG